rnacentral:tRNA from 1 species
GCCCGGAUGGCGGAAUUGGUAGACGCGCUAGGUUCAGGGUCUAGUGGGAGUACUCCCGUGGGGGUUCGAGUCCCCCUCCGGGCA